UCCCAUCCAAUGCUCAAUGAUAAAUUCAAUAAUUAAUAUGAUCCUUCCGUCCAACACCCGAUGAUAUUUUUCACAAAUUAAUGUUGGCUCAUUAACAUGUGUAAUUAACUAACUGUCGAAUUAACUGCAUGUGACUAUGGGCAUAAUUAACUAACUAUCCAAUUAACACACAAUAAAACGAUUUCGGGGCAUUAAUGGUUGUGUGUGAAAUGAAUGAAAGAAAAACAACUAGUACAGACUACACUUUGAUCACUCGCAAGUAUCAUCCAGUUAUUACGAUGACACGGUUCUCUCUCCGUGGGUGCAUGGUUUUACAUUGGCUAUGUUCUUGUCCAUAUGUCAUUUCAAACAAGCAACAUUAUUUUUUUUUUGUUCAAGUGACUUUGGCCAUAUUCCCCCAACCCGACAAAUAUGUCAGAACAGCGUGUCCAAACCUAAGUUUAGAUGCAACAGUGGCCUUCAUUUGAAUAUUUGUCCCCCACGGCACCGUCUGUACAUUCUUUUGUCAACGGGACUCUCAAAGGAACAAGCUGACCAUAGAAUACCAAGCUCCUAAGCCAACCAAAUGAUUUCCCAAUCAGACUACAUUAUUCUAGCUAAUCCUGGCAUCUUAUUCUAACCGGCCUCGGGAUCGCUGCAGGAGUCACAUGCAUCGCGGCGUUUAACCACUGCCGACUGUUUCAUUACACAAUACAAUAACAAAUCCAAAUUCAAAUUCACAUUCACAGUGAUGUGCUGCAAACUCCGGUGGAACAUCUGAAGUUUUUGAAUUUCCCCCUUUUUUCUGACACAAGGCAAACAAGAAUUUCCGUUAGAAAGAGAAAAGAAAUUUCUCAUCAUCAGUAUCGCUCCGGUACCAGCGUCAAAUGACCAUGGUUGCUUUCUUUUUCUAAAAAAAGAGGUUGAAACUCCCGACCUCUGCGUCUAAGGCUGUAGAUGUUCAUAGCUUGCCACCGCCCCCAACCAAAAAGGACUCCGUCCGAUCUCGUUGAUGUUGCGCUCCGCUUUGUUUCCAAGAAACUACCGUCAAAGAAAAACCGGACAAGUCAGUUGGUGAACUCACUGAAUUCACACACACGGUCCCCGAUUUUAAAUCGCUCAACGGACUGGACUCUCUCUCUCUCUCUCCCUUAAUCAUUCACCGGAGCGUACGAACCCAGCAGAUCUCCCAAGAAUAAACAGUGAUAACUCAUAAAUAUAGCAGAUUAGGAGCAUCUUAUUGGCUGUCCUGCCACAGGCCGCCUCUGUACUUGUUUAAUCAAGAACACCAUGGAAAAAGUUGGCCUAAUGAUCUACUCCGUACAAGUUAUUUAUUUGCUCCCUCCUGUCCUGCUCAAUCAUUUUGGGGUGGGGAAGGGGAAUCACAGAUGAAUAAUCCAUGGGCGUUGCAGGUUUCUUUCUCUUGUUAACCAAAAUUUUCUAUUUUUUCGCCUUCCGCAAAACCGCUGCGCCGGACUGUUUACAUGAGCAUCAAAGAUGGUUGAGAAUGAAAAGAAAAUGAGAAGAAUCAAAACAGAAAAAAAAUACACAUUGCAAGACGCCGAGAUGAAACACGCUAGGUUCUAGAGCUGUGAACGCCCUGACAUGUCAAACGAUGUGUUUCCCCUGCUUCUUUCUGUCAGUUCACGCAAGAGUAGGCUCCACGCCGGCGCCUUGUCAUGUGGACCGAGGCUGGACAUUGACUUGUUAUCUCCAAUUCGGCGUGUUCCUUUAACGUUGGUGUUUGUUUGUUAGUUUGUAUUGUAGUUGUUGGAUCUAAAGUUUGGUGGAUCUGAACAUAUAGAAUCGGGGGCAGCAGCAAGGACUACUUGCCUCAGCUAUAUUUCCUUGCUCGUCUCAAUGAUUGCUGACAUUUCUACCUGUCUUACCCUACUCCCUAGCUUCGUUGUCAGCUCCUCGACUGCACUGGUAUAUUUGGAGAAACACCAUACCUACAACGACAAACCAGAGUUGCCAGUUUCCUAGGGCCGCUUUGGUUACCUGCCAUAAUUUGUCAAACUUCUUUUCUCUGUAACUUCUCAUUUCAAGCGUGUAACAAGCCAGUUUUGCUGGUAAAUAAAUUGCUGGUUACAAUGAUAUGUGGUUUGAGAGGAAAAAGUGUGAUGAGACUGGCAACACCAGUGUAGCAAUGUCAAAGUUAGCAAGCUCAGAUAUAGCAAGUCCUGAUAACCGAGUAAACAUGCCCUGAUUCCAUAGGUUUAUCUCCCUGCAAAAAGAAAAGAUCCCAUAGGUUUAUCGUCUAAUCCUGCUUCCAAAUUUUGAAAUUUUGCAGAUUUGUACACUGUAACACUUACUCCCUCCGUUACUGAAUAUAAGUCAUUUUAGAUAUUUCAAUGCGGACUAUGUAUGGAUGUAUAUAGACAUAUUUUAGAGUGUAGAUUCACUUAUUUUGUUACGUAUAUAGUCCGUAUUGGAAUCUCUAAAAAGACUUAUAUUUAGAAACGGAUGGAGUAGUAUAUAGGUCACCCAUGUGUGGACAGGAGAAUAGCCGAAUUUGGGGUGCAAAAAUUGUACCCUUUGGUUUUUGGUCCUCUUUAGUUCACAUAGCUUUCAAAAUUUUAGUUCAUUUGAUUGAACUAAAGGAGGUUCCGACUUCGGAGGGUACCCUGUAAGUCAAAAGUUGCAUUCCUAAGCUAAAAGGAUUAAUUGCAAAAAAAUGCAUUCACGUGGCAUGUGAAAAAACGACUUACCGAAAAAGGCUCUCGCCCCGCCGUGCUUUAUAUAUAAAACAAUGACCGACUUACAAUCAAACUCGUUCAACUCGACACCACAACACACACAAGGCAAGGUACAAGGAUGUUGAGAACAGCUACACUACCCCAUACAACUCCAAGCCCUUUACAGGAAGGAAGAGAGGGCACCGCUGGAAGUCUCCGGAGCUCUCAACCAUGAACGAAUCACUGCGAAUAGUCGAAGCUGUGCAUGACAAACAGUGUACUUCAAGACGGUACCUUCAGGAAGGGCACUACAUCGUAGCACCGCCACCGCCUGAUGACCCACAAGUAUAGGGGACCAAUCGUAGUCCUUUCGAUAAGUAAGAGUGUUGAACCCAACGAGGAGCAGAAAGAAAUGACAUGCAGUUUUUAGCGUAUUUUCUGCAAGCACUGAAAAUUAUUGGUAAUGAGUAGUUUGAUAGCAAGAUAAUUUGAAACAAGUGACAAGUAGCAAUAGUAACUAAGGUGCAACAAGGUAGCCCAAUCCUUUUUGUAGCAAAGGACAAGCCGGAACGGUCUUAUAAUAAGCAAAGCGUUCCUGAGGACACACGGGAAUUUUAUUGUCACUUUCAUCAUGUUUGUUUGAUUCGCGAUCACUACUUUAUAAAUUGAUAUGUGGGUGGACCGGUGCUUGGGUGCUAUUCUUACUUGAACAAGCCUCCCACUUAUAAUUAACCCCUCUCGCAAGCAUCCGCAACUAGGAAAGAAGAAUUAGGAUAAAUCUAACCAUAGCAUUAAACAUAUGGAUCCAAAUCAGUCCCUUACAGAAUAGCACAUAAACUAGGGCUUAAACUUCUGUCACUCUAGCAACCCAUCAUCUAAUAACUACUUCACAGUGCAUUCCCUUAUGCCCAAAGAUGGUGAAUUUUCAUGUAGUCGACGUUCACAUAACACCACUAAGGGAAACAACAACAUACAUAUCAUCAAAAUAUCAAACGAAUACCAAAUUGACAUGAUUACUUAUGAUAAGACUUCUCUCAUGUCCUCAAGAACAAAAGUAACUACUCACAAAUCAUAUUCAUGUCCAAAAUCAGAGGGGUAUUGAAUAUCAUAACGGAUCUGAACAUAUAAUCUUCCACCAAAUAAACCAACUAGCAUCAACUACAAGAUGUAAUCAACACUACUAGCAACCCACAGGUACCAAUCUUAGGUUUUGAUAUAAAGAUUGAAUACAAGAGAUGUACUAGGGCUUGAGAUGAGAUGGUGCUGGUGAAGAUGUUGAUGAAGAUUGGUCCUCGCACAAUGAGAGGGUUGUUGGUGAUGACGAUGGUUUUGAUUUCCCCCUCCCGGAGGGAAAAUCCCGGCAGAAUCGCUCCGCCGGAGAGCAAAAGUGCUCCUGCCCAAGUUCCGCUUCGAGACGGCGGCGCACCGUCCCAAUAGUCUUCUCCUUAAUUUUUUUCUAGGGAAAAUGGGCUUAUAUACGAGAAGAUGGGCACCGGAGGCUGGCCAGGGGCCCCACAAGCCACCAGUGCACGCCCAGGGGGUGGGCGCGCCUUGGUGCCUCAUGGGCACCUGGUUGGCCCCCUCUGGUAUUUAUUUUCUUGAAUAGUUUUUUAUUCCAAAAUAAAUCUCCAUGAAAUUUUAGCUCAUUUGAAGAUGUGCGGAAUAGGUAUCUCUGAUAUAGCUUUUUCAGGUCCAGAAUUCCAGCUGCUGGCAAUCUCCCUCUUCAUGUAAAUCUUGCAAAUUAAGAGAGAAAAGGCAUUAGAAUUGCUCCACAUAGUGUUAGAUUGAUUAAAAACAUUAUAAAUAACAGUAGGAAAAUAUGAUGCAAAAUGAACGUAUCAUCGCCCGAUCAAGGGAUCGAGGUUUCCCCUGGAGCAAUAUUGAGGAUGAAGAGGAAGCGCGACGACGCCUUCAAGAAGGAGACGACACAUGUCCCAUAGGCGUCGCUGACACCAACCCGCAGAAUCAAAGAGGGUUUUCAGCUCGACAAGCCUUCAUCGCCUUCGAGACAGAGUGCAGCAAGCCACGGACGUCUGUCGUGACACCGCCACCGACCGUCACACCUUAGAUGCCACGCCACCCGCACAACCAUGGUAACUAGCCAACACCCAAGCCACGAGCAUCGCUACUCCCACCACCAAGGCAGCCGUCUCGGCAUCCAAGACCGCCCAAACGAGCCCCUUUGGCAGGACCGGACCCCAGCCGGCUAGAUUCGGGCAGGGAAGGUUGCCAGUGGCUGCUACCCAUGUUGCGGCCACUCGACAUGCCCGAUCUGGCACCUCCAAAUCCCGGCGACGUCGAGUUCAGGAGGCCACAAGGCGCCCCUUCACCCACUAACCAGGCUUGAGCCAACAGCUAGAGCCCAAAAGAAGAUGCAACUAGUCGUCGAACCAUAUGCCACCACAGACAGAGAAGAGGAAGUCGCGCCACACUCCUGCCACGCCGCCACCUCCGCCAGCCAUCACAGCGGCAAAGACGGCCGCCCGCGACCCGCGCCGUCCACGGCCCUUGCCAUCAGAGGAGGAGAACGACCGAUCCUCGCCAUUGCCCCAGGCGUACACCACCACUGUGUCGCUGCUACAACUGCGAGUAACCACCACACAAGAGAACCGCCCUGCCCGGGCGCCCAGCGUCCUCUCCACGCCCUAGUCCGAGGGCGUUGACCCGUGCCAACCCCUCUGUGCAAGAGGACUAGGAGUCCCCUUUGGCGUCGGUGCCAACCGGCCUUUGCCUGGGCGGGCCCCUGAUGACCCACAAGUAUAGGGGAUCUAUCGUAGUCCUUUCGAUAAGUAAGAGUGUCGGACCCAACGAGGAGCAGAAGGAAAUGAUAAGCGGUUUUCGGCAAGGUAUUCUCUGCAAGCACUGAAAUUAUAGGUAACAGAUAGUUUUAUGAUAAGAUAAUUUGUAACGAGCAACAAGUAACAAAAGUAAAUAAAGUGCAGCAAGGUGGCCCAAUCCUUUUUGUAGCAAAGGACAAGCCUGGACAAUUUCUUAUAUAAAGGAAAGCGCUCCCGAGGACACAUGGGAAUUAUCGUCAAGCUAGUUUUCAUCACGUUCAUAUGAUUCGCGUUCGGUACUUUGAUAAUUUGAUAUGUGGGUGGACCGGUGCUUGGGUCCUGUCCUUACUUGGACAAGCAUCCCACUUAUGAUUAACCCCUAUUACAAGCAUCCGCAACUACAAAAGAAGUAUUAAGGUAAACCUAACCAUAGCAUGAAACAUAUGGAUCCAAAUCAACCCCUUACGAAGCAACGCAUAAACUAGGGUUUAAGCUUCUGUUACUCUAGCAACCCAUCAUCUACUUAUUACUUCCCAAUGCAUUCCUCUAGGCCCAAAUAAUGAUGAAGUGUCAUGUAGUCGACGUUCACAUAACACCACUAGAGGAGAGACAACAUACAUCUCAUCAAAAUAUCGAACGAAUACCAAAUUCUCAUGACUACUAAUAGCAAGACUUCUCCCAUGUCCUCAGGAACAAACGUAACUACUCAUAAAGCAUAUUCAUGUUCAUAAUCAGAGGGGUAUUAAUAUGCAUAAUGGAUCUGAACAUAUGAUCUUCCACCAAAUAAACCAACUAGCAUCAACUACAAGGAGUAAUCAACACUACUAGCAACCUACAAGUACCGAUCCUAGACUUAGAGACAAGAAUUGGAUACAAGAGAUGAACUAGGGUUUGAGAGGAGAUGGUGCUGGUGAAGAUGUUGAUGGAGAUUGGCCCCCUCCUGAUGAGAGGAGCGUUGGUGAUGAUGAUGGAGAUGAUUUCCCCCUCCCGGAGGGAAGUGUCCCCGGCAGAACAGCUCCGCCAGAGCCCUAGAUUGGUUCCGCCAAGGUUCCGCCUCGCGGCGGCGGAGUCUCGUCCCGAAAGCUUGCUUCUGAUUUUUCUUCGGACUAAAGACUUCAUAUAGCAGAAGAUGGGCACCGGAGGGCCACCAGGGGGCCCAUGAGGCAGGGGGCGCGCCCAGGGGGGUAGGGCGCGCCCCCCACCCUCGUGGCCAGGGUGUGGGCCCCCUCUGGUAUUUUCUUCGCUCAGUAUUUUUUAUUAUUUCCAAAAACAACUUCCGUUGGGUUUCAGGACUUUUGGAGUUGUGCAGAAUAGGUCUCUAAUAUUUGCUCCUUUUCCAGCCCAGAAUUCCAGCUGCCGGCAUUCUCCCUCUUUAUGUAAACCUUGUAAAAUAAGAGAGAAUAGGCAUAAGUAUUGUGACAUAAUGUGUAAUAACAGCCCAUAAUGCAAUAAAUAUCGAUAUAAAAGCAUGAUGCAAAAUGUGUAAUAACAGCCCAUAAAUAUCGAUAUAAAUUAGUCAGAGGCCGAAUUUUUUUUGAGAAGUCCUUAAUGAACCUCCUAUAAAAUCCGGCGUGACCAAGGAAACUUCUUAUACCUUUGAUGUCCUUGGGACAUGGCAUCUUUUCAAUAGCAUCAACUUUAGCUUUAUCAACUUCAAUGCCUCUUUCAGAAAUUUUGUGCCCCAAGACAAUACCUUCAUUAAACAUAAAGUGGCACUUCUCCCAAUUCAAGACAAGGUUAGUUUCUUCACAUCUCUGCAAAACUCGAUUAAGGUUGCUUAAGCAAUCAUCAAAAGGGGAUCCAUAGACGGAGAAAUCGUCCAUGAAAACCUCACAAAUCUUUUCACAAAAAUCAGAGAAUAUAGCCAUCAUGCAUCUUUGAAAGGUAGCAGGUGCAUUACAUAAAUCAAAAGGCAUACGUCUAUAAGCAAAAGUACCGAAAGGGCAAGUAAAUGUGGUCUUAGCUUGAUCAUCAGCUGACACAGGUAUUUGAGAGAAGCCAGAAUAACCAUCUAGAAAGCAAAAAUGUGUAUGUUUGGAUAAUCUUUCUAGCAUUUGAUCAAUGAAAGGUAAGGGGUAAUGAUAUUUUUUAGUAGCUUUAUUUAAUUUGCGGAAAUCAAUUACCAUCCUAUAACCUGUAAUAAUCCUUUGCGGAAUCAAUUCAUCUUUAUCAUUAGGAACGACAGUAAUAGCUCCCUUCUUAGGGACACAAUGGAUAGGACUUACCCACUGACUAUCAGCAACGGGAUAGAUUAUACCUGCCUCAAGGAGCUUUAGUAUUUCCGUUCUUACCACUUCUUUCAUCUUAGGAUUCAGCCGUCGUUGGUGAUCAAUAACUGGUUUGGCAUCUUUCUCAAAAUUUAUUUUGUGUUGGCAUAGAGUGGGACUAAUGCCCUUAAGAGCAUCAAGAGUAUAUCCAAUAGCAGCACGGUACUUCUUCAGAGUUUUCAAUAAUUUUUCUUCUUCAUGCUCUGAAAGGUUAGCACUAAUAAUAACAGGAUAUAUCUUCUUUUCAUCAAGAUAAGCAUAUUUAAGAGUAUCAGGCAAUGGUUUAAGCUCAAACACGGGAUCACCCUUGGGUGGAGGAGGAUCCCCUAGGAUUUCAACAGGCAAGUUGUGUUUCAGAAUAGGUCCCUGUUUAAAGAAAACUUCAUCUAUUUCCCUUCUUUCAUUCAUAAACAUAUCAUUUUCAUGGUCUAGCAAAUAUUGUUCUAAGGGAUCACUAGGAGGUACGGCAAUAGAAGCAAGACCAAUAAUUUCAUCUUUACUAGGCAAUUCCUCUUCACGGUGUUGUCUACGAAAGUUAGAAAAGUUAAACUCAUGAGACAUAUCACCUAAACCAAUGGUAACAACAUCCUUUUCGCAGUCUAUCUUAGCAUUAACAGUGUUUAAGAAGGGUCUACCAAAUAUAAUGGGACAAAAGCUAUCUUGUGGGGAACCAAGAACAAGAAAAUCAGCAGGAUAUUUAGUUUUCCCACACAAGACUUCAACAUCUCUAACAAUCCCAAUUGGUGAAACAGUAUCUCUAUUGGCAAGCUUAAUUGUGACAUCAAUUUCUUCUAACUCAGUAGGUGCAAUAUCAUGCAUAAUUUCUUUGUAUAAGUCAAUAGGUAUUGCACUAGCACUAGCACCCAUGUCACAUAAGCCAUGAUAACAAUGAUCUCCUAUUUUAACAGAAAUAACAUGCAUGCCUACCACAGGUCUAUGUUUAUCUUUAGCACAAGGUUUAGCAAUUCUAGCAGUUUCAUCACAGAAAUAAAUAACAUGGCCAUCAAUAUUAUCAGCCAAGAGAUCUUUAACAAUAGCAAUAUUAGGUUCAACUUUAACUUGCUCAGGAGGUGUAUAGGUUCUAAUAUUGCUUUUACGAACCAUAGUUGAAGCUUUAGCAUGAUCCUUUAUUCUAACAGGGAAAGGUGGUUUCUCAACAUAAGCAGUAGGAACAACAGGAUCAUUAUAAGUGAUAGUCUUUUCUUCAACUUUAAUAGGUUCAACUACUUUUACUUCUAUGGGAGGAUGAUAUUUAAACCACUUCUCCUUAGGGAGAUCAACGUGAGCAGCAAAAGAUUCACAAAAAGAAGCUACUAUCUCAGAGUCAAGUCCAUAUUUAGUGCUGAAUUUACGGAAAACAUCGGUAUCCAUAAAAGAUUUAACGCAAUCAAACUUAGGUGUUAUACCUAACUCCUUACCUUCGUCGAGGUCCCAAUCUUCAGAAUUGCAUUUAAUUCUUUCCAAUAAAUCCCAUUUGAAUUCAAUAGUCUUCAUCAUAAAAGAACCAGUACAAGAAGUAUCGAGCAUGGUGCGAUUGUUGUCAGAAAGCCGAGCAUAGAAGUUUUGAAUAAUCAUUUCUCUUGAGAGCUCAUGAUUGGGGCAUGAAUAUAACAUUGACUUAAGCCUCCCCCAAGCUUGAGCGAUGCUUUCUCCUUUGCGAGGCCAAAAUUUUUAUACAUAAUUACGAUCACGAUGAACAAGAUGCAUAGGAUAAAACUUCUAAUGAAAUUCCAAUUUCAAUCGCUUGUAGUUCCAUGAUCCCAUAUCAUCACAUAGCCUAUACCAUGUUAAUGCAUCUCCCUUAAAAGAUAAAGGGAAGACCUUCUUCUUGACAACAUCAUCGGGCAUACCUGCAAACUUAAAUAAUCCACAAACUUCAUCCACAUAGAUUAGGUGCUCAUCAGGAUGUAAUGUUCCAUCUCCUGCAAAAGGAUUAGCUAGCAGUUUUUCUAUCAUACCCGAAGGAAUUUCAAAGUAGACAUUUUCAUUUUAAGUAGGUUCAAUAGGUUGAGGAGCAACUCUUUGCUCUGCUGGUCGGGGUGAAGAUACCCCGAACAAGCCCCUCAGAGGAUUACUUUCCAUAGUAACAAGUGACAGUAAAUUUCAUCACACUAUAUAAAUUUUUCCUUACCAAAUUCCACCUACCAAAGGCGCUUCACUCCCCGGCAACGGCGCCAGAAAAGAGUCUUGAUGACCCACAAGUAUAGGGGAUCUCUCAUAGUCCUUUCGAUAAGUAAGAGUGUUGAACCCAACGAGGAGCAGAAGGAAAUGAUAAACAGUUUUCAGCAAGGUAUUCUCUGCAAGCACUGAAAUUAUAAGUAACAGAUAGUUUUGUGAUAAGAUAAUUUGUAACGAGCAAUAAGUAAAAAAAGUAAAUAAAGUGCAGCAAGGUGGCCCAAUCCUUUUUGUAGCAAAGGACAAGCCUGGACAAUUUCUUAUAUAAAGGAAAGCGCUCCCGAGGACAUAUGGGAAUUAUCGUCAAGUUAGUUUCAUCACGUUCAUAUGAUUCGCACUCGGUACUUUGAUAAUUUGAUAUGUGGGUGGACCGGUGCUUGGGUGCUGUCCUUGUUUGGACAAGCAUCCCACUUAUGAUUAACCCCUAUUGCAAGCAUCCGCAACUACAAAAGAAGUAUUAAGGUAAACCUAACCAUAGCAUGAAACAUAUGGAUCCAAAUCAACCCCUUACGAAGCAACGCAUAAACUAGGGUUUAAGCUUCUGUCACUCUAGCAACCCAUCAUCUACUUAUUACUUCCCAAUGCCUUCCUCUAGGCCCAAAUAAUGGUGAAGUGUCAUGUAGUCGACGUUCACAUAACACCACUAGAGGAGAGACAACAUACAUCUCAUCAAAAUAUCGAACGAAUACCAAAUUCUCAUGACUACUAAUAGCAAGACUUCUCCCAUGUCCUCAGGAACAAACGUAACUACUCACAAAGCAUAUUCAUGUUCGUAUCAGAGGGGUAUUAAUAUGCAUAAUGGAUCUGAACAUAUGAUCUUCCACCAAAUAAACCAACUAGCAUCAACUACAAGGAGUAAUCAACACUACUAGCAACCUACAAGUACCAAUCCUAGACUUAGAGACAAGAAUUGGAUACAAAAGAUGAACUAGGGUUUGAGAGGAGAUGGUGCUGGUGAAGAUGUUGAUGGAGAUUGGCCCCCUCCCGAUGAGAGGAGCAUUGGUGAUGACGAUGGCGAUGAUUUCCCCCUCCCAGAGGGAAGUGUCCCCGGCAGAACAGCUCCGCCAGAGCCCUAUAUUGGUUCCGCCAAGGUUCCGCCUCGUGGUGGCGCAGUCUCGUCCCGAAAGCUUGCUUCUGAUUUUUCUUCGGACGAAAGACUUCAUAUAGCAGAAGAUGGUCACCGGAGGGCCACCAGGGGGGCCACGAGGCAGGGGGCGCGCCCAGGGGGGUAGGGCGCGCCCCUCACCCUCGUGGCCAGGGUGUGGGCCCCCUCUGGUAUUUUCUUCGCUCAGUAUUUUUUAUUAUUUCCAAAAACAAAUUCCGUGGAGUUUCGGGACUUUUGGAGUUGUGCAGAAUAGGUCUCUAAUAUUUGCUCCUUUUCCAUCCCAGAAUUCCAGCUGCCGGCAUUCUCCCUCUUUAUGUAAACCUUGUAAAAUAGGAGAGAAUAGGCAUAAGUAUUGUGACAUAAUGUGUAAUAACAGCCCAUAAUGCAAUAAAUAUCGAUAUAAAGGCAUGAUGCAAAAUGGACGUAUCAUCCCCCUGACGGCAGUGAGGGAGGAUGGGGAAAUGGCGGCACGAUAUAGAUUCCAUCCUCGUCUCUACGCGGGGGCGGUGCGGGAGGGGUUUACGAUGAUAAAACCAAAAAACGACCUUAAAUCACCAAAAGAUGUUUUUGGCUCCUUGUUCUUCUCUUGGGACAUUUCUAACUGAUCCCCUAUCCGGCGUUAGAGAAGUAAAAAGUCUCCUCUAACGCGCACCUAAUCAAUCCCCAAUCUGUUGUAAGAGAGUAAAAAUUAUACUCCGGCACCAACUUUCUCCCUAAAUAUACUCAUCCUUUGCGGCUCUAAGUAAAAAGUCGCGCCUCUCCCUCCGCCGCCUCCCGCCCCUGCAUCUUUGCUAGCGCGCCACCCGGCGAUCGCCCGCCGGCCCGCCGCUACCUCGUUGCCUCCCUUGGCCCACGUUGCCCUUCUGCCCAACGUCGAGCCCGUUCGACCCCCGCAGCCGUCGCCGAAAUCAAGGUGAAACAUCGCCGCCGUCGCCAUAGCCAAUUCAUCGGAUUGCUUCAAAUCUUCUUCCUUUUCUGUCAGCCGUUGCAUCUCACCUUGCUUGCACACCGCUGCAGGUCAUUCGCACGCGGCGCCGCCCACCGGUUUGGUCUAAACGACACCGGUCGGCCGGUGCACCACCACCGCACUACAAGUGUUCGACGAAUUGCCUAGGUGAGCUUUUCUGUUCGUUUAUUUUUUAAACGAGCCGUUUGGAUUGAACCUAGCCAUUUGAAUUGUAGAUGAAGAGGUUGAGGGAGAUGGUCUUGGACGACUCGUCGUCAUCCGAAGAGGAAGAAGAAGACGAUGACUUUGACACGGUUUUAGGCAUGAUUUUCAAUGAUGAUGUUCAGCGGCCUAGGAGAGGAUCACAGUUUGGCCGCAUACACAUCAACCGCGAUAGAGGGGAGGGCCAUGCGAAGAUCAUGAGAGAUUACUUUGAUCCAAAGCCAACCUAUCCGGAGAAGUACUUUCGCCGACGCUUUCGGAUGCACACAAGUCUUUUUUCUGACCAUUGCAAAAGUCGUUGAGAGAUAUGAUGACUGGUUCAAGCUCCAGAGAAAUGCAUGUGGAGCGAUAAGUGCACGCCCUUUGAUGAAGUGCAUUGCGGUUGUUCGAGUCUUGGCAUAUGGGUGUUCAGCUGAUGCAGUUGAUGACUACGUCCGCUUUGGUGAAGACACAAUCUUGGAGGCUGUUCGAAGGUUCACCAAAGCAGUGAUUGAUGUCUGGCCCGGAGUACUUGAGAGCACCAACCGAGGAAUACACCCAGAGGCUGAUGACUCAGAGUGAAGCAAGAGGAUGGCCAGGGAUGCUUGGAUCACUUGACCGUAUGCACUGGACAUGGAAGAAUUGUCCCGCAUGGUGGAAGGGUCAGUACACAGGCCACUGCAACGAUCCAAUGAUCAUUCGUGAUGCAGUUGCAUCGAAGAAUCUUUGGAUAUGGCAUUCAUUCUUUGGUUUGCCUGGCUCUCACAAUGACUUGAAUGUGAUGUCGAGAUCAUCACUGUUUUCUAGGCUUAUUACAGGCGAUGCUCCUCCUUACAACUACUCGGUCGACGGGCACAACUACUCGAUGGGUUACUACCUUGCGGAAGGCAUCUAUCCACCAUGGGCCACCUUGGUCAAAACAAUUCCGCAUUCAAAAGAUAACAAAAAUAUUCACUUUACCCCAUGUCAAGAAGCUGCUAGAAAGAUGUUGAGAGAGCCUUCGGUGUGUUUCAGAAGCGCUUUGCAAUUGUUCGUGGCCCUGCUGAGUACUGGAGCUCCAAGGUUCUAUGGCGGAUCAUGACUUGUUGCAUCAUGUUGCAUAACAUGAUCAUUGAAGACGAGAGCGAUAUGUCUGAGAACUUUCGGUACAUCAGCAACAGGACUCCGAUUGAGCCAGGGUAUGAUAAGAACAAGAUCCUGGCAUUCCUUGAGGAGCAUUGCAAGAUCGAGAGCCGACAAGUUCAUGCUUAGUUCCAACAAGAUCUUAUUGAGCAUCGCUGACAACGUAUUAGCGAGUCCUAGUUGUUCUAUCGCAUGCUAUUUGCUACAUUUGCACUGUUCGGCGUGUUUAAAUUUGAAUGAUUCGGUUUGUAAACUAUAUUCAUGGUUUGCUUAAACAUUCAAAUUUAUGUUUAGUUUUUAUAUGUGUGCUAAUAUGUAGUUGCAAUUUAUAUUAGAAUUGUGAAGUUUAGAAAGAAAAAAAUACUCCGUUAUAUAUAGGGGGUCAGCUAGGUCAGGCCAAAACUUAGUGGAGUAAAUAUACUUCACUAUUUUUAGGGGAUCAGUUAGAAAUGCCCUUAUGCAUACAUAUUUCUUGCAUAGUCCACCCUUAUAACUACAGCGACAUUCUGUAUAAUUGUUUUGAAUUUUCUAGACCCACUUUCUGAAUUUUGGAAAAUUAUAAGAGCACACAUGUGCUCUAUCGGGUGCAGUAAUUCGACGUCCGGUAAUCACCCAUUUGCUACUAUCAUCAAAUCAAUGCCUAAUCCAUCUUACCAUCAUCUAUUACCAAUCAAUGCUAGGCUCAUGCCCAUCUUGCCCCGAGCCCUUGGCCAAACGGCGACGCUGGUCUAGCUCUUGCCGUGGUGUACCGGUAAGUCCCCCUGCCACCAACAUGAAUGCCAAUAACGGCCGAGCGCAAGUGCUGUGCUACGUAGCCGGUGAUAGAUUCUCGCUUGACUUUGGUUUCACCGUACGUCCUGCCGCUCAUCACGCCCUAGCCAGCUACUACGAACCAACAGCGGCAAAGCAAAGGCGGAGAUGAAUUGCGAGGCCUCACAGGUCAACUUCCUACCCUAGCAAAAGCUCAGAGUAGUAAAGCUUUGCCUACGUGAUGCAUGGAUGUUACUGCUGCUGCUGGGAGCUGUGUGGAUGAUGUUACCACUCUGGUAGGGAAAGGGAAAGUGUGUGCAUGUCCUUGCAAAAAGCAGGCUGGCCGGUUGCGUCCGUCCAUGUCUGUCUGGUGCCUAAAUUUCCUUGUGCGCGAUUUGUUACCAGAAUUUAUAUAUGCCACUGCUUUGUUCGGAAACUGAUGACGUCUGGAUAGUAAACGGUCGAACUUCUCUAUCUUUGACGACUACUACCUCAAUAAUGAUAUAUUAACUCGUUUGAGUUGCUUAGCGCAUCUUCAACGGCAACCCGCAAAAAACCUCCCCAUCCAUCCGCGGUCAAGGAAGACAAGUCCGUGGACAUGGAUGCGGGAGGCAGUCAUCCAACGUUAGCCGUAUACAUUUUGACAGCAACUCAAACGAACCGGCCGAAAUUUGUGCAAACAAGUCCGGAUUUGCAAACUCGACCGGAUUUCAUACAAACUCGAUCAAAUUUCGUACAAACCGGACGCAAACGGUUACAUUUUGGAUAUAUUUUAACUAAAAAGUUAAAACUAUGUGCACGUAUGGUCGUGCGGAGUUUCACUCACACGACACAGAUACACUACACUAGUCUAUGGCCGGCCGCGGUGGAUCCCUUCGUCACCGGACUGCCGGGAGUCUCGGAGGCAUAUUCUCAUCCCAUAACUUUCCUAUGUCCGGCUGCGCCCCUCAUCGGAGUGUGGCGAAGAGGGUGCUUCAGCCGGAGGGGAAGGAUGCUUCCGUGGACGCCCAGGCCAGGGUGGUCUAAAAUAAAGAAGAAACCGGGCACGUCACCGGCUGUACAAGUCACGGACGCGCGGGCGGUGGCCUUCCUGGGACCCAAGCGGCGGCGGCCUCCCGUGUUCUACUUUCCCUCGAAGUUGUCAACGGACGUGUGUAAGGGCAUAUUUAUCCCUAAGAUGUUUUGGUGAUUGAUGACAAUGCUUUUGCGGACUAAUCGUGUGCAUUGAGUGUUUUUCAGAGAUUCAUCCUUUUGGCACGAGACGAUUCCCUCCCCUCAGAGCUUGAAGCGAAGACGGUGUAGUCCUUUUGAAUUAGUUUGGUGGACUAGUUUCAUAGGGCAGGUGCUAGCUGUCAAGUGGCAGGCCUUCAUGGGGCUGCUUGAGGUGGAAGAUCAAGGGCUCGAGACUCCAGUCGGUUUUCGUCCUCACCAACAUGUUACCUCCACUCACAAGCAAGCCCUCUGGCCCUACUGUACUCGGAAGGUCAACCCUGAGACCAGGAAGAAAACCUAUAAGUUGUCUGCCUAUCUGGACAUCCUUCACCGUAUCUUCCGCGAGACUCUCUUCCCUCGUAUCGGGAAUCUGGACAUGGUACACUCUUAUCUCGUGGACAUGCUUCUCUUCUGCCAGCGUGAGAAGGAAGCAAACAUUGGCGAGUCCCUGGACAUCUCUCAUGUCAUGUGGUCUGAACUUCUUGCUGCUGUUUCUGAGCGCAAGUGCCCAAUUUAUGGUCCGUUCAUUAUGUUGCUUAUUGAGAGGGCCUGGAGACAUACCUAUCCUGAGGAGCAGCUGGAAACUGGAGAGUUGGUUUCUCAUGAGAUCAAGCGUCUGAGGAAGAAGGAUAAUUGGGGUAGAUCUGGAAUUCCAUCUUCUGCUGCUGCCAUGGAGACCGAGGGCGAGGCUGAUGGCAGUGAUGAUGAUGGGGAUUAUGUGCCUUCUGGGACAGAGCCUUCUGCGGCAGAGCCCUCUUGGGCAAAGAAGCUCAAACACAAGAUGAAGAAGCUGUUCUGCAUGGAGUCUCACGGUCAGUACAUGAUUCAUGUGGCUGAGAAUAAGGCAAGGGGACGUCACAAGGAGCUUAUGCGUCAGAUGGGUGCGACAGUCACCAGCGGCUCUGAGGGUCAGAUUGUUGGAAAUAUGCCCUAGAGGCAAUAAUAAAUGGUUAUUAUUAUAUUUCUGUGUUCAUGAUAAUAGUCUAUUAUUCAUGCUAUAAUUGUAUUGUCCGGAAAUCGUAAUACAUGUGUGAAUACAUAGACCACAACCUGUCCCUAGUAAGCCUCUAGUUGACUAGCUCGUUGAUCAACAGAUAGUCAUGGUUUCCUGACUAUGGACAUAGGAUGUCACUGAUAACGGGAUCACAUCAUUAGGAGAAUGAUGUGAUGGACAAGACCCAACCUAAGCAUAGCAUAAAAGAUCGUGUAGUUUCGUUUGCUAGAGCUUUUCCAAUGUCAAGUAUCUUUUCCUUAGACCAUGAGAUCGUGCAACUCCCGGAUACCGUAGGAGUGCUUUGGGUGUGCCAAACGUCACAACGUAACUGGGUGACUAUAAAGGUGCAUUACGGGUAUCUCCGAAAGUGUCUGUUGGGUUGGCACGGAUCAAGACUGGGAUUUGUCACUCCGUGUAAACGGAGAGGUAACUCUGGGCCCACUCGGUAAUGCAUCAUCAUAAUGAGCUCAAUGUGACUAAGGCGUUAGUCACGGGAUCAUGCAUUGCGGUACGAGUAAAGAGACUUGCCGGUAACGAGAUUGAACAAGGUAUUGGGAUACCGACGAUCGAAUCUCGGGCAAGUAACAACCGAUUGACAAAGGGAAUUGCAUACGGAUUGAUUGAAUCCUCGACACCGUGGUUCACCCGAUGAUAUCAUCGUGGAACAUGUGGGAGCCAACAUGGGUAUCCAGAUCCCGCUGUUGGUUAUUGACCGGAGAGGCGUCUCGGUCAUGUCUGCAUGUCUCCCGAACCCGUAGGGUCUACACACUUAAGGUCCGGUGACGCUAGGGUUGUAGAGAUAUAUGUAUGCGGAAACCCGAAAGUUGUUCGGAGUCCCGGAUGAGAUCCCGGACGUCACGAGAGGUUCCGGAAUGGUCCGGAGGUGAAGAAUUAUAUAUAGGAAGUCCAGUUUUGGCCACCGGGAAAGUUUCGGGGGUUAUCGGUAUUGUACCGGGACCACCGGAAGGGUCCCGGGGGUCCACCGGGUGGGGCCACCUGUCCCGGAGGGCCCCGUGGGCUGAAAGUGGAGGGGAACCAGCCCCUAAUGGGCUGGGGCGCCACCUUGGGCCUCCCCCCCAUGCGCCUAGGGUUGGGAACCCUAGGGGGGGAGUUCCCCCUUGCCUUGGGGGGCAAGGCAACCCCUUCCCCCCUUGGCCGCCGCCCCCCCUUGGAGAUCCCAUCUCCUAGGGCUGCGCACCCCCCUUGGGGGCCUAUAUAAAGGGGGGGAGGGAGGGCAGCACACUACAGCCUUUGGCGCCUCCCUCCUCCCCUGCAACACCUCUCUCUCUCGCGCAGAAGCUCGGCGAAGCCCUGCCGGAGAGCCGCUACAUCCACCACCACGCCGUCGUGCUGUUGGAUCUCCAUCAACAUCUCCUCCCCCCUUGCUGGAUCAAGAAAGGAGGAGACGUCGCUGCACCGUACGUGUGUUGAACGCGGAGGUGCCGUACGUUCGACACUCGGUCAUCGGUGAUUUAGAUCACGGCGAGUACGACUCCGUCAUCCACGUUCAUUGGAACGCUUCCGCUUGCGAUCUACAAUGGUAUGUAGAUGCACUCCCUUCCCUCGUUGCUAGUAGACUCCAUAGAUGCAUCUUGGUGAGCGUAGGAAAAUUUUAAAAUUAUGCUACGAUUCCCAACAGUGGCAUCAUGAGCCAGGCCUAUGCGUAGUUACUAUGCACGAGUAGAACACAAAGCAAUUGUGGGCGUUGAGUUUGCCAAUUCUUCUUGCCGCUACUAGUCGUUUCUUGUUUCGGCGGCAUUGUAGGAUGAAGCGGCCCGGACCGACCUUACACGUACGCUUACGUGAGACUGGUUCCACCGACUGACAUGCACAAGUUGCAUAAGGUGGCUAGCGGGUGUCUGUCUCUCCUACUUUAGUCGGAACGGAUUCGAUGAAAAGGGUCCUUAUGAAGGGUAAAUAGAAAUUGGCAAAUCACGUUGUGGUCAUACGUAGGUAAGAAACGUUCUUGCUAGAAACCUACAAACCACGUAAAAACUUGCAACAACAAUUAGAGGACGUCUAACUUGUUUUUGCAGCAAGUGCUAUGUGAUGUGAUAUGGCCAGAAGAUGUGAUGAAUGAUAUAUGUGAUGUAUGAGAUUGAUCAUAUUCUUGUAAUAGGAAUCACGACUUGCAUGUCGAUGAGUAUGACAACCGGCAGGAGCCAUAGGAGUUGUCUUUAUUAUUUUGUAUGACCUGCGUGUCAUUAAGUAGACGCCAUGUAAAUUACUUUACUUUAUUGCUAAACGCGUUAGCCAUAGAAGUAGAAGUAAUCAUUGGCGUGACGACUUCAUGAAGACACAAUGAUGGAGAUCAUGGUGUCAUGCCGGUGACAAAGAUGAUCAUGGUGCCCCGAAGAUGGAGAUCAAAGGAGCAUGAUGAUAUUGGCCAUAUCAUGUCACUGUUUGAUUGCAUGUGAUGUUUAUCAUGUUUUUGCAUCUUAUUUGCUUAGAACGACGGUAGCAAGUAGGAUGAUCCCUUAUAAUAAUUUCAAGAAAGUGUUCACCCUAACUGUGCACCGUUGCGAAGCUUCGUCGUUUCGAAGCACCACGUGAUGAUCGGGUGUGAUAGAUUCUUACGUUCGCAUACAACGGGUGUUGACGAGCCUAGCAUGUACAGACAUGGCCUCGGAACACACGCAAUACACUUAGGUUGACUUGACGAGCCUAGCAUGUACAGACAUGGCCUCGGAACACGGAGGACCGAAAGGUCGAGCAUGAGUCGUAUAGAAGAUACGAUCAACAUGGAGAUGUUCACCGAUCUUGACUAGUCCGUCUCACGUGAUGAUCGGACACGGCCUAGUUGAGCUCGGAUCAUGUUUCACUUAGAUGACUAGAGGGAUGUCUGUCUGAGUGGGAGUUCAUUAAAUAAUUUGAUUAUAUGAACUUUAUUAUCAUGAACUUAGUCUAAAAUCUUUACAUCAUGUAUUGUAGAUCAAAUGGCCCACGUUGUCCUCAAUUUCAACGCGUUCCUAGAGAAAACCAAGCUGAAAGAUGAUGGCAGCAACUAUACGGACUGGGUCCGGAACCUGAGGAUCAUCCUCAUAGCAGCCAAGAAAGAUUAUGUCUUAGAAGCACCGCUAGGUGAAGCACCAAUCCCUGAGAACCAAGACGUUAUGAACGCUUGCCAGCAGCGUGCUGAUGAUUACUCCCUCGUUCAGUGCGGCAUGCUUUACAGCUUAGAACCGGGUCUCCAAAAGCGUUUUGAGAAACAUGGAGCAUAUGAGAUGUUCGAGGAGCUGAAACUGGUUUUUCAAGCUCAUGCCCGGGUCGAGAGAUAUGAUGUCUCCGACAAGUUCUUCAGCUGUAAAAUGGAGGAGAACAGUUCUGUUAGUGAGCACAUACUCAGAAUGUCUGGGUUGCACAACCGCUUGUCUCAGCUGGGAGUUAAUCUCCCGGAUGACGCGGUCAUUGACAGAAUCCUUCAGUCGCUUCCACCAAGCUACAAGAGCUUUGUGAUGAACUACAAUAUGCAGGGGAUGGAAAAGACCAUUCCCGAGGUAUAUUCAAUGCUGAAAUCAGCUGAGGUAGAGAUCAGAAAAGAACAUCAAGUGUUGAUGGUGAAUAAAACCACUAAGUUCAAAAGGGGCAAGGGUAAGAAGAACUUCAAGAAGGACGGCAAGGGAGUUGCCGCGCCCGGUAAGCCAGUUACCGGGAAGAAGUCAAAGAAUGGACCCAAGCCCGAGACUGAGUGCUUUUAUUGCAAGGGAAGUGGUCACUGGAAGCGGAACUGCCCCAAAUAUUUAGGGGACAAGAAGAAGGCCGGCAACACCCAAGGUAUAUGUGAUAUACAAGUAAUUGAUGUGUACCUUACCAGUACUCGUAGUAGCUCCUGGGUAUUUGAUACCGGUGCGGUUGCUCAUAUUUGUAACUCAAAUCAGGAACUACGGAAUAAACGGAGGCUGGCAAAAGACGAGGUGACGAUGCGCGUCGGGAAUGGUUCCAAGGUCGAUGUGAUCGCCGUCGGCACGCUACCUCUGCAUCUACCCACGGGAUUAGUUAUAAACCUCAAUAAUUGUUAUUUAGUGCCAGCUUUGAGCAUGAACAUUGUAUCUGGAUCUCGUUUAAUUCGAGAUGGCUACUCAUUUAAAUCUGAGAAUAAUGGUUGUUCUAUUUAUUUGAGAGAUAUGUUUUAUGGUCAUGCCCCGCUGGUCAAUGGUUUAUUUUUGAUGAAUCUCGAACGUGAUGUUACACAUGUUCAUAGUGUGAAUACCAAAAGAUGUAAAGUUGAUAACGAUAGUCCCACAUACUUGUGGCACUGCCGCCUUGGUCACAUUGGGGUCAAGCGCAUGAAGAAGCUCCAUGCAGAUGGACUUUUGGAGUCUCUUGAUUACGAAUCAUUUGACAUGUGCGAACCAUGCCUCAUGGGUAAGAUGACCAAGACUCCGUUCUCCGGAACAAUGGAGCGAGCAACCAACUUAUUGGAAAUCAUACAUACCGAUGUGUGCGGUCCAAUGAGUGUUGAGGCUCGCGGAGGAUAUCGUUAUGUUCUCACUCUCACUGAUGAUUUGAGUAGAUAUGGGUAUGUCUACCUAAUGAAACACAAGUCUGAAACCUUUGAAAAGUUCAAGGAAUUUCAGAGUGAAGUCGAGAAUCAACGUGACAGAAAAAUAAAAUUCUUACGAUCAGAUCGUGGUGGAGAAUAUUUAAGUCACGAAUUUGGUACACACUUAAGGAAAUGUGGAAUAGUUUCACAACUCACGCCGCCUGGAACACCUCAGAGAAAUGGUGUGUCCGAACGUCGUAAUCGCACUCUAUUGGAUAUGGUGCGAUCUAUGAUGUCUCGUAUCGAUUUACCGCUCUCAUUUUGGGGUUAUGCUUUAGAGACUACCGCAUUCACUUUAAAUAGGGCACCGUCUAAAUCCGUUGAGACGACACCGUAUGAAUUAUGGUUUGGGAAGAAACCUAAGCUGUCGUUUCUAAAAGUUUGGGGAUGCGAUGCUUAUGUCAAGAAACUUCAACCUGAAAAGCUCGAACCCAAAUCGGAAAAAUGCGUCUUCAUAGGAUACCCUAAGGAAACUAUUGGGUAUACCUUCUACCUCAGAUCCGAAGGCAAGAUCUUCGUUGCCAAGAACGGGUCCUUUCUAGAGAAGGAGUUUCUCUCGAAAGAAUUGAGUGGGAGGAAAGUGGAACUUGAUGAGGUGAUAGUCACCCCUUCCGAACCGGAAAGUAGCGCAGCACGGGAAAAUGUUCCUGUGGUGCCUACACCGACGGGGAAGGAAGUUAAUGAUGAUGAUCAUGAAGCUUCGGAUCAAGUUGCCACUGAACUUCGUAGGUCCACAAGGACACGUUCCGCACCAGAGUGGUACGGCAACCCUGUCCUGGAAAUCAUGUUGUUAGACAACAGUGAACCUUCGAACUAUGAAGAAGCGAUGGCGGGCCCGGAUUCCGACAAAUGGCUAGAAGCCAUGAAAUCCGAGAUAGAAUCCAUGUAUGAAAACAAAGUAUGGACUUUGACUAACUUGCCCGAUGAGCGGCGAGCCAUAGAAAACAAAUGGAUCUUUAAGAAGAAGACGGACGCAGAUGGUAAUGUAACCAUAUACAAAGCUCGACUUGUCGCUAAGGGUUAUCGACAAGUUCAAGGGGUUGACUACGAUGAGACUUUCUCACCCGUAGCGAAGCUGAAGUCCGUCCGAAUCAUGUUAGCAAUUGCCGCAUACUAUGAUUAUGAGAUAUGGCAGAUGGACGUCAAAACGGCAUUCCUUUACGGCUUCCUUAAGGAAGAUUUGUAUAUGAUGCAGCCGGAAGGUUUUGUCGAUCCUAAGAAUGCUAACAAAGUAUGCAAGCUCCAACGCUCAAUCUAUGGGCUGGUGCAAGCAUCUCGGAGUUGGAACAUUCGCUUUGAUGAGAUGAUCAAAGCGUUUGGGUUUACACAGACUUAUGGAGAAGCCUGUGUUUACAAGAAAGUGAGUGGGAGCUCUGUAGCAUUUCUCAUAUUAUAUGUGGAUGACAUACUAUUGAUGGGAAAUGAUAUAGAAUUCUUGGAAAGUAUAAAGGCCUAUUUGAAUAAGUGUUUUUCAAUGAAGGACCUUGGAGAAGCUGCUUAUAUAUUAGGCAUCAAGAUCUAUAGAGAUAGAUCGAGACGCCUCAUUGGUCUUUCACAGAGUACAUACCUUGACAAGAUAUUGAAGAAGUUCAAUAUGGAUCAGUCCAAGAAGGGGUUCUUGCCUGUAUUGCAAGGUGUGCAAUUGAGCACGGCUCAAUGCCCGACCACGGCAGAAGAUAUAGAAGAGAUGAGUGUCAUCCCCUAUGCCUCGGCCAUAGGGUCUAUUAUGUAUGCCAUGCUGUGUACCAGACCUGAUGUAAACCUUGCCGUAAGUUUGGUAGGAAGGUACCAAAGUAAUCCCGGCAAGAACACUGGACAGCGGUCAAGAAUAUCCUGAAGUACCUGAAGAGGACUAAGGAUAUGUUUCUCGUUUAUGGAGGUGACGAAGAGCUCGUCGUAAAGGGUUACGUCGACGCUAGCUUCGACACAGAUCUGGAUGACUCGAAGUCACAGACCGGAUACGUGUAUAUAUUGAAUAGAGGAGCAGUAAGCUGGUGCAGUUGCAAGCAAAGCGUCGUCGCGGGAUCUACAUGUGAAGCGGAGUACAUGGCAGCCUCGGAGGCAGCACAGGAAGCAGUCUGGAUAAAGGAGUUCAUUACCGACCUAGGGGUGAUUCCCAAUGCGUCGGGCCCAAUGACUCUCUUCUGUGACAACACUGGAACUAUUGCCCUUGCGAAGGAGCCCAGGUUUCACAGGAAGACCAGGCAUAUCAAGCGUCGCUUCAACUCCAUUCGUGAAAGUGUUCAAAAUGGAGACAUAGAUAUUUGUAAAGUACACACGGACCUGAAUGUAGCAGAUCCGUUGACUAAACCUCUCCCUAGGGCAAAACAUGAUCAACACCAGGACGCAAUGGGUGUUCGAUUCAUCACAAUGUAACUAGAUUAUUGACUCUAGUGCAAGUGGGAGACUGUUGGAAAUAUGCCCUAGAGGCAAUAAUAAAUGGUUAUUAUUAUAUUUCUGUGUUCAUGAUAAUAGUCUAUUAUUCAUGCUAUAAUUGUAUUGUCCGGAAAUCGUAAUACAUGUGUGAAUACAUAGACCACAACCUGUCCCUAGUAAGCCUCUAGUUGACUAGCUCGUUGAUCAACAGAUAGUCAUGGUUUCCUGACUAUGGACAUAGGAUGUCACUGAUAACGGGAUCACAUCAUUAGGAGAAUGAUGUGAUGGACAAGACCCAACCUAAGCAUAGCAUAAAAGAUCGUGUAGUUUCGUUUGCUAGAGCUUUUCCAAUGUCAAGUAUCUUUUCCUUAGACCAUGAGAUCGUGCAACUCCCGGAUACCGUAGGAGUGCUUUGGGUGUGCCAAACGUCACAACGUAACUGUGUGACUAUAAAGGUGCAUUACGGGUAUCUCCGAAAGUGUCUGUUGGGUUGGCACGGAUCAAGACUGGGAUUUGUCACUCCGUGUAAACGGAGAGGUAACUCUGGGCCCACUCGGUAAUGCAUCAUCAUAAUGAGCUCAAUGUGACUAAGGCGUUAGUCACGGGAUCAUGCAUUGCGGUACGAGUAAAGAGACUUGCCGGUAACGAGAUUGAACAAGGUAUUGGGAUACCGACGAUCGAAUCUCGGGCAAGUAACAACCGAUUGACAAAGGGAAUUGCAUACGGAUUGAUUGAAUCCUCGACACCGUGGUUCACCCGAUGAUAUCAUCGUGGAACAUGUGGGAGCCAACAUGGGUAUCCAGAUCCCGCUGUUGGUUAUUGACCGGAGAGGCGUCUCGGUCAUGUCUGCAUGUCUCCCGAACCCGUAGGGUCUACACACUUAAGGUCCGGUGACGCUAGGGUUGUAGAGAUAUAUGUAUGCGGAAACCCGAAAGUUGUUCGGAGUCCCGGAUGAGAUCCCGGACGUCACGAGAGGUUCCGGAAUGGUCCGGAGGUGAAGAAUUAUAUAUAGGAAGUCCAGUUUUGGCCACCGGGAAAGUUUCGGGGGUUAUCGGUAUUGUACCGGGACCACCGGAAGGGUCCCGGGGGUCCACCGGGUGGGGCCACCUGUCCCGGAGGGCCCCGUGGGCUGAAAGUGGAGGGGAACCAGCCCCUAAUGGGCUGGGGCGCCACCUUGGGCCUCCCCCCCAUGCGCCUAGGGUUGGGAACCCUAGGGGGGGUUCCCCCUUGCCUUGGGGGGCAAGGCAACCCCUUCCCCCCUUGGCCGCCGCCCCCCCCCUUGGAGAUCCCAUCUCCUAGGGCUGUGCACCCCCCUUGGGGGCCUAUAUAAAGGGGGGAGGGAGGGCAGCACACUACAGCCUUUGGCGCCUCCCUCCUCCCCUGCAACACCUCUCUCUCUCGCGCAGAAGCUCGGCGAAGCCCUGCCGGAGAGCCGCUACAUCCACCACCACGCCGUCGUGCUGUUGGAUCUCCAUCAACAUCUCCUCCCCCCUUGCUGGAUCAAGAAAGGAGGAGACGUCGCUGCACCGUACGUGUGUUGAACGCGGAGGUGCCGUACGUUCGACACUCGGUCAUCGGUGAUUUAGAUCACGGCGAGUACGACUCCGUCAUCCACGUUCAUUGGAACGCUUCCGCUCGCGAUCUACAACGGUAUGUAGAUGCACUCCCUUCCCUCGUUGCUAGUAGACUCCAUAGAUGCAUCUUGGUGAGCGUAGGAAAAUUUUAAAAUUAUGCUACGAUUCCCAACACAGAUCACUGAGGAGGAGGAGUGGAUCCAGCAGCACUGUCCGUGGACCGAUUCAGAUGCCGAGCAGUUUCCGGGCGAGGACGGCAGUGCAGAUGAUCACGCCGAGUCCUGAUGUUCGAGAUCCUCAGCAUGCUCUCACCUGGAGCCGUAGGUUAGCUCUUUGCCCCCUUUUGGUGUCUCGAUGCCAAAGGGGGAGAGAGUUUAGGGAUUUGCGUCGUUGUGUUGCGAGUGUGUCUUUGCCUUUGUGCUUUUGUUGUGUGCUACCUUGUGCUUUGCUUGGUUUUGUGUUCAGUGAGACCUUAGUUCAAAUCAUAUGGUGUGAGACAUAUGCUACCCUAUCCUUAUCAUAUCUUUAUCUGUGUCUCUAGUCAUUUGAUAUCUCAUGAGUUACAUGCUUUAUUAUGUUAUAUAUCCUGCUAUCUUGUAUCUCGCUUAGGUUGUUGGUCUCUAAAAUACAGGGGGAGUGUUGAUCCUAGUAUGUGUGUCGUGCAGUCCAAAGCACUUAUCUUGAUGGCACACAUCUAGGGGGAGCCCGUCUAUAUUUUAGAGAUUUGGGGUUUGCUUAUGUCCUUUGUCUUUUCCCAGUUGUGCAAAUCCCGUAUUGUCACCAAUCCACCAAAAAGGGGGAGAUUGUAAGGGCAUAUUUAUCCCUAAGAUGUUUUGGUGAUUGAUGACAAUGCUUUUACGGACUAAUCGUGUGCAUUGAGUGUUUUCAGAGAUUCAUCCUUUUGGCACGAGACGAUUCCCUCCCCUCGGAGCUUGAAGCGAAGACGGUGUAGUCCUUUCGAAUUAGUUUGGUGGACUAGUUUCAUAGGGAUCACCGUACUAUCAAGAGGGGGUCUGUUUUGGAAAGGCUAGGGUGGAAUCAUCACGUACACUUCCUUUGCCCCUCCCUCCGAGCCUUUCCGUUUCGAUGAUGGGCUCGUUUCUCUUCUCAGUGUGCUCUCUCUGGUCCCAGCGGUAGUACCGCGGGCCGGAGCGGUAGUACCGCUUGGGUGCUACAAGCGGUAGUACCGCUCUGGAGCGGUAAUACCGCCCAGAGCAGUAGUACCGCUGGUAGCCCCCAGCUGUGUGCUCUCUCUGGUCCCAGCGGUGGUACCGCGGGACGGAGCGGUAGUACCGCUUGGGUGCUACAAGCGGUAGUACCGCUCUGGGUGCGGUAGUACCGCUCCAGAGCAGUAGUACCGCGGGUAGCCCCCAGCCGUAGUACCGCGGUGGUCUCGUGCUAGUACCGCCUCGAUUCGAGGGCUCUUUUUUCAUGUCGGGUUUUACGGUACUGGCCGCGGCAGUGGGGGGCGUAGUACCGCUCGUAUGCGGUAGUACCGCCCUCCCACCGCGGUAGUACCGCUCUGGGCCAAGCGGCAGUACCGCGAGGAGGAGCGGUAGUACCGCGUAUAGUGACAAGCGGUACUACCGCUGGCCCAGCGGUAGUACCGCUCUCUGCGGGGCAGAAGUGGGGGUAACGGUUGGAUUGUUCCCCCCACUAUAUAAGGGGGUCUUCUUCCCCAAAGUUGACCGACCUCUUCCCCCCAAAAGCUCCAUUGUUGCUCCAAGCUCCAUUUUCGCCCGAUCCCUCUCCCUAGCCAAUCAAACUUGUUGAUUUGCUCGGGAUUGGUUGAGAAGGCCACGAUCUACACUUCCACCAAGAGAAAUUUGAUUUCCCCCACUUAUCCCUAGCGGAUCUUGUUACUCUUGGGUGUUUGAGCACCCUAGACGGUUGAGGUCACCGUGGAGCCAUAGUCCAUUGUGGUGAAGCUUUGUGGUGUCGUUGGGAGCCUCCAAUUAAGUUGUGGAGAUUGCCCCAACCUUGUUUGUAAAGGUCCGGUCGCCGCCUUCAAGGGCACCAAUAGUGGAAUCACGGCAUCUCGCAUUGUGUGAGGGCGUGAGGAGAAUACGGUGGCCCUAGUGGCUUCUUGGGGAGCAUUGUGCCUCCACACCGCUCCAACGGAGACGUACUUCCCCUCAAAAGGAAAGAACUUCGGUAACACAUCCUCGUCUUCACCGGCUCCACUCUUGGUUAUCUCGUUCCUUUACUUUCGCAAGUUUACUCGUGUUAUAUCUCUUACUUGCUUGCGUGCUUGUUGUCAUUGCAUCAUAUAGGUUGCUCACUUAGUUGCAUAUCUAGACAACCUAUUUUGAUGCAAACUUUAAUUUGGUAAAGAAAACCUAAAAAAUUGUUAGUUGCCUAUUCACCCCCCUCUAGUCAACUAUAUCGAUCCUUUCAACGUGGACGUGGAUGCGCUGGCCACCGACUCGUCGAUCUCCUCCGCGGACCCGCCUUCUUUCUCUGUCUGCAUGGCGCGGCUACACGCGUGUCGAUGGUGGAUGGUGCGGUCGUAGGUACCGGAAGGGCGGUACAACGCGGCGGCGUCCAUGCCCGUGCCGUCGUGCUCCACUCCGUGCCGGCCUGGAGCAACUCGCCACUCCUCCGUGAGCUGGCAUGGAGCGGUGAGCUGCUGAACCACGCGUCGGAUUGGGGCAGCAACUUGCUCCAGCAGCCAAGGGGAGGGAGGUGGGGCAGCGAGCUGCCUCGCUCGUAUCCACCGGGCUCGGCGGGCCACCAUGUUGGCUUUUAUACCGAAGAACUCCUCUUCAUGCCCGUCGGAUGCCAUCAAAAUGCUGGAGAAAAUGGUGAAGGAGGAGAUGGGGGAAGCGGCGGAGGGGUGUGAUUCUUGCCCGGUGCAUGCCAUCGUUUAAGUAGAGGGCGGAGGGGAGGAGCUUGGCCGGCGUGGCAUUUAAUGUCGGCCCGCUCCUGAACGGACGUGUGGCCGGAGUAGAUUUUUCGGCUUCCACGCGGGGGUUAAUGGCGGUGUAUGAAUGCGGCGAGGAGGCGUGUUCAGCCGGGCGUACAGCGGGCGGCGCCCUCGGCCGGCGCACCGCUUCAAUGGCGGAGGCAGUGAGAGGUCGUGUCCGCCCUGAGCCGUCUUCAAUGCGGAGCGGCGCGCUCUAUAACAGCACGAAUGCGGGCAAGUGGCGCCGGGCGGGAGAGCGUGCGGGAGGGGGACGAGUUUUUUGGUGGGCCAGGGCGGUCAGAAGCGGGCUUGGGAGCGGUCCCGACUCCCGUAAACCUCCCCCACUUUUGUCGCCGAUUUGCGGGAGAAAUCGCGUCCGGACUGCUCCGCGGACCGAUACAGGUUGAAUUCCGCGGUCCGGACGAUUGCGGGAGGUUUACGGGUCCACCUUGGAAAUGCCCUUAGAGCAAGUAUAAUAAGAUGAUGUGGGCGGGUUGUAAGGAUUUAAAUAUUAUAUUAUUGUUGAGUUGGAAGAGAGAGAAGAGAAACGGGUUGUAGACAUACAACCGACUAUAGUACAAGCUCCAAGAAGGUUUGUGAGAGUGAAAGGUGGGUCAUAUGUUGACAAAGUAGUACUUUCUUAUAGCCAACUAUUACAUGUAUUGGUCAUUACAUUGGCUAUAAAUGACAUGGUAACAUGUUAUAGCCAGCCGCCGCUGGCUAUAUCAUUAACCAUGCUCUUAGAGCAAGUACAAUAGCAGGCUUACAUGAUAAUUUUGUCUAUGUGCAGGAUAGAGACAUGAAAAAUUAAGAAGAGUGGACUCUCAUGCAAGAGUUUAGCUAUACGCGUGCUCCUAAACACAUACAAUAAAUAUGAAGAAAGAAAAAGAGAUAAAGGGAAGAUGAAAAAAAGAUAAAUUUAUAGUUAACUUUAUAGCUAAUCUUGUUGUAUGAGUGAUAACUAGAUAGUAUGGCAACAUUAUAUAGCCAUCAGCUGGCCGUAUUACUAGCCAUGCUUUCUUAGGUGAAAAUGUCACGGUAAAAUCUGUCAUGGUUAUUAAUUUUCCACAACAAAAAUCAUGUGCAAUCACGUGGCAACCACACGUUUAAUCACACCUCCGACUCAUUGGCAUAUAUGUGAUGGUACCCAACAAUAUUAGGAAGAAAAAAAGGUAGUCCGUGUGGUACUGGCACCGAGGAGCCUGCAGUGUUAGGCACAACGCACCCUCCUGCAUCCCAGAGAAGAAAGGCGACCUAACCGCUGCACAUCUCUCGGUGCGUCGCUGUUGUUGCAUCCGCAGCAGUAGCUGAGGUGCUCUCGGUCUCGGUCCGAAUGAACUUUGCAGUCUACACGAGCUUUGAGGCCCCGAUCGGGGGCUUGGGGACGGAAAAGGCAGAGGCGCAUAUCCGCCCGCGCAGCGAAGGAAGGGGGGAAAAGGAACGGGCAUUGUGGAUGCUCGCUUUGUACGAGCGAUACUGUGGGCUUACAGGUGUAGGCUGUAGCGGCCGCGGAAGGCUCGCCAUAAAAGCUUCUACUAUACCUAACAUGCGGCCGGGUCGAUCGACGAUGGAUGGAUGGUCCGUUGCUGUUCCUUCUCUUUUGUCUUUGGGGCGGGAGGGGACAGUGCUCCGGCUGUGCAAAGAGUGAACCGGAAGAAAAGGCCCUUUAUUCGAUUCAUUCAUUCACUGGCGUGGAGAGGGCAUCCAGAAUGUGAAAUCUUCCUACGUUUUGAGUUGAACUAAAAAAGAAAAAGCUUAGCUAAUUCCACCGAGAAGAAAAGAAGGGCAAAAGGCUACAAAAUGCAGGUGGUGUUUUAUGGCUGCAAAAGCUUAGCCACAAAACGAAGUGUUGACCAGAAGACACCUCGUUGUCUUAUGCUCGUUGCUGAGCCAAGAAGAAACUACUGCAACACGAGAAGACGUCUUGAACUACAAACUAGUGAUGAGAAACUGAGGGUGCAAGCAAGAUGAUCUGCGUCUGAAGAAAGCACCAGAUUAUAAAUUUGCAACAGACCAGGCGAACCGGCUCCGACUUGGAGUCCUCCUAUACGACGCACACUGCUGUCAUAUAAAAGAGGAAACACCCAUGCUGGCUUAAAUCGGCCUGAAAUGUAGCCACCAUUUUCAUUUAAUUUUCGGGUGAAAAUAUAUAUGAACAGAGUGCAUAAAAACUCAAUAAAAUAUAUUUAUGAAAGUAUAAUAUUUAAACGUGAAUUAAAAAAUACGUAUAUAAUGUUUGUUUAUUUUAAAGAGUUCAAUUUGUGUUCAAAAAUGUUCAGUGUGUAUUUAAAAAAUUUCACCGUAUACUCGGAAAAAAAAUCAGUUUGUAUGGAAAAAAGAUCACCAUAUAUUACAAAAAAAUUCAGAGUAUAUUUAAAAAGGUAACCCAUGUUUAAAAAAAGUUACCAUAUAGUCAAAAAUAUUCAAUAUAAAAACUAGCUUUUUAGAUAAAAAAUUAAAAAUGUAAGAAAAUACAAAACUAAAAGAAUGUAAAAAAAGAAAUAAAACGAAAAUAAAAAUAUAACUAAUACAGAAAGCCAAAAUGUAGGAACAAAAACCCACAAACAGAAGCAGAACAAUGUACAAGAAUAACUAAGAUAAUAAAUAAGAGAAAAACAAACACAGAAAAUUGAAAAGAAAAAGUACAAUAAACAACAACAAGAAAAACCUCGAACCGUUUCCACCGUUGGAUUCCUCGCGUCGAGAUUUUCAAAACUAGAUCCCAUAUUGAUAGCUUUUGACGAACUUUUUUCAUAAAAAAACGAACCGGGAGCACGGGUUUUUCCCUUUCCGAAAAAGGCACGCCCAUGCCUCUCGCGAAAUCACAACCGUGCCUCUCACGGAAGCAAAACCAUGCCUCUCGUGGAAGGACAAAAAAUAGAAAACACGUUUUUUUCGUUUUCGAUAGGCAAGGUUGUGCCCUCUCGCGGAAGCAAAACCGUACCUCUCGCAGAAGGAAAAAAAAAACAGAAAACGCGUUUUUUUUCGUUUCCGAGAGGCACGCCUGUGCCUCUUGCGAAAGCAUAACCGUGCCUCUCGCGGAAGGAAAAAAAAAAGAAAAUGCUUUUUUUGUUUCCGAGAGGGACGGCCGUGACUCUCGCGAAAGUACAACCGUGCCUCUCGCGGAAGCAAAACCGCGGCUCUUGCAGAAGGAAAAAAAUAGAAAACGUGUUUUUUUUUCCGAAAGCCACGGCCUUGUCUCUCGCGAAAGCACAACCGUGUCUCUCGCGGAAUAAAAACCAUGCCUCUCGCGGAAGAAAAAAACAGAAAAUGCGUUUUUUUCGUUUCCGAGAGGCACGGCUAUGACUCUGGCGAAAGCAAAACCGUGACUCUCGUGAAAGAAAAAGAAGAAAACAUAUUUUUUCAUGUUUUUUUGUUUAAUCCAAAAUCUAAGGAAAACAGGUGGAAAACCGAAACCUUGGAAAAAAUUGUUUAAAAAAACAAAAACGCGUGCAAAAAAAUAAAAAGUUAAAAUUCGAAGUGAGCGCCCAGAGAUCGACACGUGGCGGGCGCCUGAGAGCGCGCCAAGUGGCGUUAAGCGUUGUGGGGCUUAGAAAGAGCGCUCGUCAACUAGUUGCUCCCUUUGGGUUACCUUUGGAGGGCUGCUGCAGAGGUCACAUUCUUGGGCCUGGGACGCGGCAAGUGGUGCGUCAGCCACCGCCAUGUGCCGCUUGGUUUUCUUUUUCACAUUUUUUUGGAUUUUCUUUUUCUUUUUUGGCUUUUUGCUUGAUUUUUUCUAGGUUUUGGUUGACUUUUCUUGCGAAAGUGGUGCUUAUUCCACAAGAAGCAGGGACGCAUAGUUGUGCUUUCAUGAAAAGCACACCUGUGCUUCCUGAAAAGCACAAAUGUGCAUCCCGAAGAAAAAUUGAAAAGCACAACGGUGUUUUCGGUUUGUUUGUUUUGGCGAUUCAGUUUUUUUGGUUUUUUUUUUCUUUCGGUUUCUGUUUCUCCGGUCAAGAAAAAUUCAGUGAUAUAAACUCAAUUCCACCGAUCUACUCUACUCCAACGACAAAUAUUAUGGUAGAGGGAGUAUAAGAUGUUCUAGAUAUUUCAAUAUGAACAACAUAGAAAACACACUAAAACAAGUCAAACGAAUGAAAACACACUAAAACUUGUUUACAUACAUCUGAUUCAGGAGAAAGUAUGAACAUCUUAUAUUGUGAUAGUACGUACUAAAAACGGUUGUGCCAUAUAAUGCCUCCCUGUGCAAAGUGCAUAAAACCCAUGAAAUGAAUCAGAAAUGGGAGUAUUAUGUUCAAGCAGGUACAGACCAUAUGUCCCACUAGAGUGAGUCUCCCUUGGUCUCAGAACAAUGUGACAAGAUGACAAGUUGCCAAAAAGAUGAUUCAAAUUUGAUCACCAGACUAGCAAGAUGCCCGUGCUACGCUACGGGAUAAGAAAUGAUCAGGUGGACGUAUAGUCAGGAGCUGGUAUAUGCUACUAAUGCAAAAAAAAUGUACCAAGCACUAAUCAAAGUGACAAUAUAUUAUUGAUAGGUACACAUCAAGCACAGUCAAACAUAUGGUUUCCAAUCGAUAAACCUCUUCAUCCAAGCCAAACAUUUUCUUCUUCAUCUUUGCCUCACGGGAAGACUUGUUCUCCAUGCUCAUCUCAUUGCUCGCUCUAUCCUAUAUCGAGGUGGUGACAGAGAUCAUGCAACAAUAAGAAAAUCCGUCCACAUACAUGUGACAACUGAGAUAGGCACUAACCAGCUUAAUUUUCUAGUUUCUCUUCCUAUCCUUGUCUGCUUAAUUUUCUACUUUCGGCAAUAGAUUGAUUAUUUGCUCGGACCAUAGCCAAGUCAUCGAAGUCAUGAAUAUCGGCUUGCACUGGCGGGCAGUGCUGCAGCAGUGGCCAAUGAUAGUUAUUUCUUGUCUUCAGAGUUUACCAAAGUGGUGUUUGAACAUGAGUAUCGAGAGGCGGAUGCUAUUGCCCAUGAACUGGUCCGUCUUCCACGUUUAAUGAAGCUACUUCUUGGAUUGAAGUACCACCACCAUCAAUUCUAUCUCUUUUAGGAACACUAUAAUGAUGUAUACGAAUGAAUAAAGAGGUGUUUUUAUUUAAAAAAAAACAAGGGACCUAGUAAUGUGUCCUUUUGGGGAACAAAAGAAGAAAGGGUAAAAAAAACAGAAGGUGAGCCUUACCAAUCUAAUGCACAAAAUAGAGUGGUACAAAUUAAAAUCAGGUCUUUAUUGUGCACUGCAUUACCAAUGAAAAAUAUCACAUGAUUUUGUUUCUUAAAACCAAUAGUCUCAUGAAACAUACAUGCCUCGACACGAGAAACGCGUCGUCAUGAAGUUGCAUCGCAGAAAAUUAACAGUCUAAUCAAUUAGUAUUAAGCUUAGACACACAAGAAUAUGACAGCAGUAACAUGACAUAUAUCUCCCCCGCCACAAAGUAGAGUAUCGAAGACUAUCUCCCAUCACUAUACAAAAUCAUAGUAUCCAACUUUUCUACAUAGCAGUGCGUCCCCAAGCGCAGGAAAUCGGACAAACUUUCAGGCUCUACUUCACCCUCUCAGUGCACCACAUACCUCCACUCCACUCACCACACCCUCUCAGUGUAUCAGAUAGGUGCCUUGGUAUAUGUUACAUCUUAGAAAUAAAUGGUCAACGUACAUCAAGAAACUGGAGGCAAUGGUCCUGGCAGGAAACCUUUGCUGUAUAUAUAUCAUUGGAUUACUACUUAGUUGAACAAACUUUCACCUGCUUCUUACAUUAGAUAAAGCAGGGAUUGACUGUAACACGAUGAAAACCAAAGUCACCUACUGCCUGCUACUGCUUGCUACUUGAGCAAAACAUAAAAAAUAAUGUUCUGACUAUAUUCUUGGGGAACUCUGCACUUAGUAAGAUCAGGAUCUCCUGACUAUAUUUUAACAUACUUCAGUUUAUCUUUAAAAAAAUCAUGCUGACGCUGAUGCUUAUUAUAAUUACCUUCCUUGGUGAAAAAUAUUUUCUGUAAAAAAAUACCAGCUGGCUUAAAAGAUCAAGCAUAAUCAUUUUAGGCUAGUUCUUACGAUACGAGGUGCUGGAAUGAUUACAUGUGGAUCUUAAUCUGACAAAUAUGACUACUGAUAAAUAAAAAACAUCAUCCUCACCUAUGCCAUGAAUUAGUUAUUGUGCAAACAGUUGCCGCCAUAGUCAUCCUUGCAGCAGUAACUGCGGCACAACACCUUGCAUGUUCCUACAUUCCCCGUGCUCGCCCAUCUUUGUGUCACUAUCAUGCACCUCGCCCUUGCUGCCACAACCCUGAAAUUCAGAAAUAGCUGAGCCCAACAAUGCAAAUUUCUGUCAGAAAAUUCAGAAGUACAAAACCCCUACAAAAAUCAAAAUUGACCUGACACCUAUGCAGUAGUUUACAGUCACCAAAUCAGACAUAUGAAGAAUGCUCAAAGGUUGGCACUAACCCUGACCAAAAGAUUAGCUUUGCAUAAAUAAACCACCUUGCAAAAUUUUGCCACUUGAACCUUCCAGUCAUACAAAUAAUUUCACUACUCUUUAAAAGGUGGCUAACUCCAUUCGGUCAGCUUGAAAUCCAACAGAUAACUAAGUACUUGGUCGGUUUCUCUAUGAGAUGAAAUAUUAAGCCUCAUGGCCAUCACCACAUGUGCGUAAAGGAAGAAAUAAUUUGUAGUUUUACCUCAUAGCCAGAAUGCACAAUAGUUAUGCACAUAUAAGUGUCUAAAGUAUUAAGGAAUGAUGAUAUGCAUUGACAACCACACUGCAAAGAUAAUACUUUCACGCAAGUUAAACUAUCCUGCAAACCAGCCACCAAAUCACUUCAGUAUGAACACAAAAAUGACCAAACAACACAUUAAUUAAGUGAAAGCAAUGAUCUCACAUUCGGUGGCUGUAACAUUUUGGCGUAAUACCUGCAUGCUUUUCCCCCCAAAAAAAUGGAGGGUUAGCAAAAAAGAUUAAAACCUUAAAGUUUAAAAAGGAUUUCACAAGAGCCUAUUACAACAAGCAGAGGCCUAAUAAUAAGCUUCACAACUUGCAGAUGGCAAUGGGAAAAGAAAACACACUGAUAACAUGUUCAAAACCGUGAAAUAUGAAGCAUGUUCCACUUCUUAUGCAGUAGGUGGGCCGACACCAUGGAUGAGCAGAGCACAGCCAGCGGGAUACCUGCAGAUGUCAGUGUCGGAGGAGACGGCGAUGAGGAAGUGGAGGUGGUGGGAGUGGGAAGUAUGGCUGCUGGAUCAAUAAAGGGUGGAGGUAGGAGAGGCGUUGUGGCACUGACGGCGCCGGCGGCGUACUUUGGUGGCUGGUAACAAAGGAGAUGGGGAGGAGUGGAGGGGAUGACGAGGAGCACGGGGAGGUGGCGGUGAUGGGAGUGCUCGAACUGCGGUGUUAGACGAGGACGCAGGAGAGGCGUCCGUAGACGGACGACAUCGACGGCGUGCUUGCCGAGCUCGGCGGUUGAGGAGACGGGCAAGGGGCAGAGAGGACGUUGAGGUGGAGGUGCGUCAUGGUGGUGGGCGGUGAGGCUGAGAAGCAUGAGAGGCGCAGGAGGUGGACGGCGCCAGCAGCAGCCGCCUCGCGCCCCCGCCAGAUCGAUUCCAGUGAUGUCCGGCGCCAGAUCGAUUCCAGUGAUGUCCGUCGGUGAUUCGAUUUGUUUCCAGAUGGUUCCAGGAGUUGGGAGAGAGAAGCCUGAACAGGAAAGAUGUGGUUGAGGGGUUAUGUGCAAAUGAGCAGCAGACUGAUUUGUGUGCGUUAGAUGUCGAUCCGACGAUCCUAAACGAUGGAUGGCAGACACACCAUCAUCACCAACUCAGAAUUUUAUAGAAUUUUAUAGGAGUAGAGAAUAUAACGCAGACCCAAACCCCAAUUUAACACACUUAUCAGCAAUUGGCAAUGGGAUCUAGAUUAUAAAGGCAAUAGUAGAUCUUUGACGCAUUACAGUCUGCACUGGUAGCAAAAAGGUUGGAAUAACAGAUAUCCCUGACAGUCACACAACGAAGAACAGCGGAAUACUUUCCUACAUACGAACCAGACCAAAACAUAGUUCUGACAGACAGUCUACUCAUCCUCCUGGCUGCGGAGCCUGGCAAGCUUGUUCGUAACCACGAUGUCGAGCUGCGCGGCACGCU
rnacentral:lncRNA from 1 species